ACAAUGCCACACAGUUCCCACCACCAGAACUCCAUAUCCCAUCUCCUCUUCUGAUAGCUUUCCUAUUUUUUAUCCCUCUGGGAGUAUGGACCCAGGGUCAUUAUGGGGUGCAGAAGGUGGGAGGUCUGGCUUCUGUAAUUGUUUCCCCUCUGAACAUGGGUGUUGAAAGGUCAAUCCAUACUCCCAGUCUGUCUCUCUAUUUCCCUAGUGGGGCAGGGCUCUGGGGAAGCGGGGCUCCAGGACAUAUUGGUGAGGUCAUCUGCCCAGAGAGGUCCGCUUGACAUCAUGUUAGUAUCUGGAGCCUGUUGGCUGAAAAAAGAGUUAACAUAUAAAGUCAAACAAAUUGUUGACUAGUCAUGAACCUAAAGGCCGGGAUGGUUUGUAUGAAUAGUUGGGUGGGGGGGUCUCAAUAGUUAGUAGUCCUAUUUUAGUUAUAUUCCAAAGGGCUCAUGACUAAUACUAGUUUUUUUUUUUUUACCUGAGCCUGACAUAUGAUAUGCAGGUGGAUCUAAGUUUUUGUCUGGAGAGAUGAUGUCAUGGCUGGAAAAAGGACCAGAAACCUGGAUCAGGGAAGAGAGUUGCUGACGCUCACGUGGAGUGGCUCCAACCAGGAGGUCUUUCUACUUGCUUGCUGCAUAUACUGACUCACUGCAGACUAUUGUGCACUUUUUCUUUCAGAAAGAUGUACAGUGGAAAAGACUUCUUCAACAAGAGGAUAUAAUUUUCACAAAGGAGGGAAGACCAGUGUUAUAUAAAUAUAUAUAUGUUAUAUAUUUACAUGUUUAAAACAAAUAAACCUGUUUUAAUUUUAA